rnacentral:rRNA from 1 species
GACGAACGCUGGCGGCGUGCUUAACACAUGCAAGUCGAACGGAAAGGCCCAGCUUGCUGGGUACUCGAGUGGCGAACGGGUGAGUAACACGUGGGUGAUCUGCCCCUGACUUUGGGAUAAGCCUGGGAAACUGGGUCUAAUACCGGAUAUUCAUUUUUCCUCGCCUGGGGAUUUGUGGAAAGCUUUUGCGGUUGGGGAUGGGCCCGCGGCCUAUCAGCUUGUUGGUGGGGUAAUGGCCUACCAAGGCGACGACGGGUAGCCGACCUGAGAGGGUGAUCGGCCACACUGGGACUGAGACACGGCCCAGACUCCUACGGGAGGCAGCAGUGGGGAAUAUUGCACAAUGGGCGCAAGCCUGAUGCAGCGACGCCGCGUGAGGGAUGACGGCCUUCGGGUUGUAAACCUCUUUCAGCUCCGACGAAGCGCAAGUGACGGUAGGAGCAGAAGAAGCACCGGCCAACUACGUG